AAGUCGUAACAAGGUUUCCGUAGGUGAACCUGCGGAAGGAUCAUUAACACGUAUCCAACGUUAAACCCCCCGUGAACUUUUAUUGCGAACCACGCCUUUGUUAGAAAGUAGCAAUCCCUGGUAAAUCAUCGCCGAACAGUUUUGAUUCAGGGAUCUCUGCGAAGAGAGCGGUUGUAGCGCGAGGUAAGUGGCCUGGCAUUCCUCUGCUUGUUAGUGUCUGACAGUGUCACUAGCUCUGUACGAAUGGCGCAGUCACGAUCGCUAGAGGCCGACCUAUCACCUUUGCAUGAAAACGGGCCUGCGCUUAAUUGUGCGGCCACCAAACUCGAACAACUGUUAACAAUGGAUAUCUUGGUUCUC
rnacentral:misc_RNA from 1 species